AUUUGUCUGGUUAAUUCCGAUAACGAACGAGACCUUAACCUGCUAACUAGAUUCUUCUAUUUUAUAGUUGAUAUCUUCUUAGAGGGACUAUGUAAUCUAAAUACAUGGAAGUUUGAGGCAAUAACAGGUCAGUGAUGCCCUUAUAUGUCCUGGGCUGCACGCGUGCUACACUGAUGCAUACAACAAGUGCCUAACCAGACAUGGUAUGGCAAUCUCGAAUAUGCAUCGUGAUGGGGAUAGAUCUUUGCAAUUAUAGAUCUUGAACGAGGAAUUCCUAGUAAGUGCAAGUCAUCAUCUUGCAUUGAUUAUGUCCCUGCCCUUUGUACACACCGCCCGUCGCUCCUACCGAUACCGGGUGAUCCGGUGAACCUUUUGGACUCAUUUGGGAAAGAUAAGUAAACCAUAUCACCUAGAGGAAGGAGAAGUCGUAACAAGGUUUCCGUAGGUGAACCUGCRGAAGGAUCA
rnacentral:rRNA from 1 species